UCCGAGUUGACCCCGGCAGUCUCCCAUGAGUCCCCACCAUUACGUGCUGGCAACAUGGAACGAGGGUUGCGCUCGUUGCGGGACUUAACCCAACAUCUCACGACACGAGCUGACGACAACCAUGCACCACCUGUACACCAACCAAAAGGAAACAACAUCUCUGCUGCGAUCUGGUGUAUGUCAAGCCUUGGUAAGGUUCUUCGCGUUGCAUCGAAUUAAUCCGCAUGCUCCGCCGCUUGUGCGGGCCCCCGUCAAUUCCUUUGAGUUUUAGCCUUGCGGCCGUACUCCCCAGGCGGGGCGCUUAAUGCGUUAGCUACGGCACAGACCUCGUGGAAUGAGGCCCACACCUAGCGCCCAACGUUUACGGCAUGGACUAC
rnacentral:misc_RNA from 1 species